UCUGCAUCAGACCAAUCAGGACGGUGCAGCCGUCUUCGCCGUCGUGCGGCUCGUCGUCAACGUUCUCGAGGCGGAUGAAGAACUGAGGGUUGGAGCAGAACGUGGCUGCAGAGAGACACGAGAUCAGGUCCAGCUGAAGAGUGUACGAGCCAAGUUUUCAUGCAGAUCGGACAAAAUCCCAAGGAGGAGUUCGAAAAAUAACAGGAAGUGAAGAGAAUGAGACGGAACCAAUCAGGCGGAGGUGUUCAGAUCCAGUCCUACAGUAAAAGUACUGAUGGCCCGGCCCAGAGUCCUGUCCUGGGGAGAACCUCAAGGUCUCUCUACAGACCAGGUUCCUCAGCAACAACAUGAAAUCUAAAAGCUACAAACCUGAGAGGACACUAAAGUGAGAGAAACGGACCUGGUGACACCUGACCAGGUGCACACACACCCGUCCAGGUGCACACACACUUGUCCAGGUGCACACACACCCGUCCAGGUGCACACACACUUGUCCAGGUGCACACACACCCGUCCAGGUGCACACACGCUUGUCCAGGUGCACACACACCUGUUCAGGUGCACCCUUGUUGGGUUAAUAUUUAAACAGACUGAGUCAGACUCUGAUUAACAAGAGGUGGUUUGAUUUUAUCUUUAUCUGUAGGUCAGCAGAACGCUGCAGGUUCUGGCUCCGGCCCUGAAGCUGGAGAGGCUGUAUCCCUCUGCACACAGGUGGGCAGAGGGAUACCUGCUGUGUGUAAUCGUCUCGUCUUCUUUAUUAAAUCUCAUGAAACAAGUCUGAGGGCUGAUUCAUAUCAACCACAUGUAUCAGUUAAUAAAUGUUUCAGUUGAUAAAUAAUAAAACGUUAAUAAUUAA